AUUGAACGCUGGCGGCAUGCCUUACACAUGCAAGUCGAACGGUAACAGGUCUUCGGAUGCUGACGAGUGGCGAACGGGUGAGUAAUACAUCGGAACGUGCCUAGUAGUGGGGGAUAACUACUCGAAAGAGUGGCUAAUACCGCAUGAGAUCUACGGAUGAAAGCAGGGGAUCGCAAGACCUUGUGCUACUAGAGCGGCCGAUGGCAGAUUAGGUAGUUGGUGGGAUAAAAGCUUACCAAGCCGACGAGCUGUAGCUGGUCUGAGAGGACGAUCAGCCACACUUGGACUGAGAAACUGCCCAGACUCCUACGGGGGGCAGCAGUGGGGAAUUUUGGACAAGGGGAGCAAGCCUGAUCCAGCAAUGCCACGUGCAAGAUGAAGGCCUUCGGGUUGUAAACUGCUUUUGUACGGAACGAAAAGCCCCAGGUUAAUACCCUGGGGUCAUGACGGUACCGUAAGAAUAAGCACCGGCUAACUACGUGCCAGCCGCCGCAGUAA
rnacentral:rRNA from 1 species